rnacentral:rRNA from 1 species
UACGGAGGGUGCAAGCGUUGUCCGGAUUUAUUGGGUUUAAAGGGUGCGUAGGCGGUUCUUUAAGUCAGUGGUGAAAGCCUCCAGCUUAACUGGAGAAAUGCCAUUGAUACUGAAGAACUUGAGUACAGACGAGGUAGGCGGAAUUGACAGUGUAGCGGUGAAAUGCAUAGAUAUUGUCAAGAACACCGAUUGCGAAGGCAGCUUACUAGACUGUAACUGACGCUGAGGCACGAAAGCUAGGGGAGCGAAUGGG